GAAAUGCGCGUCCGAGGCUCCGGGGCCGCGGCCGGAGCGCGGGGCAGGCGCGCGGGGAGCGCAGCCCGGCGCGAGCGCCAUGAUGGUCGCCGCGGUUCGGGGCCCGUUUUCUGGAGGGGGAGCCGCAAUGAUGCAAUCCCCCGGCCGCGCGCCCUGCUCCCUGCCUUUUCUCAACGUUCCUUUAGAGGCGCGUCGAGGUUUCGCGCCCAACGCCUUGAUUUCUUUUUGUACUGCUCGCUCCGAUGCCUGCUGCUCAGUGUCCCCACGCGUGACAGGCCGGGCGCGCGGGCGGCCGCAGAGGGGCUGGGCCUUACGUGUCAACUCGGCACUUUCGGUUCUGCGGGGUCGGCCUGAGGCGGACCCCACCCCAUCCCACCCCAGUCCCCAGGCCAGCCCGGAUCCGGGAGGUGGCCGCUGAGGUUUUCCAGCGGGACUGUGGGCCCCUUCCCCACCCCCAGCUGGGCCCGCAGGAUUUUUUACCUCCCUUUUGGCUGAGAGGGGGUGGGUGGGCGUAGGGUGUGGCCCAGGUGAAAGACACAGCAAGUUUUAAAAAGAAAUUCAUACUCUGAACACCAGACAGGAGAUCCUAGAGGAGAUUUAGAAUCACUUUUUCUGUGCAAAGAGCUUGAGAGAAGAGCAAGUGUGGGCGCUGUGAUGAUGAAGAUGAAAUGGCGAAGGCAGCGUCCCCCGGCCUCCGGGAAAGUCGCUCCCUGAGGCCGGGGCGGUGGGCGCACCCCGGCCUGAGAGGCC
rnacentral:lncRNA from 1 species